rnacentral:rRNA from 1 species
AGUGAACGCUGGCGGUAGGCCUAACACAUGCAAGUCGAACGGCAGCACAGUAAGAGCUUGCUCUUACGGGUGGCGAGUGGCGGACGGGUGAGGAAUACAUCGGAAUCUACUUUUUCGUGGGGGAUAACGUAGGGAAACUUACGCUAAUACCGCAUACGACCUACGGGUGAAAGCAGGGGAUCUUCGGACCUUGCGCGAUUGAAUUAGCCGAUGUCGGAUUAGCUAGUUGGCGGGGUAAAGGCCCACCAAGGCGACGAUACGUAGCUGGUCUGAGAGGAUGAUCAGCCACACUGGAACUGAGACACGGUCCAGACUCCUACGGGAGGCAGCAGUGGGGAAUAUUGGACAAUGGGCGAAAGCCUGAUCCAGCAAUACCGCGUGAGUGAAGAAGGCCUUCGGGUCGUAAAGCCCUGUUGUUGGGAAAGAACAGCAGCAGGUUAAUACGCCGAUGUUCUGACGGUACCUAAAGAAUAAGCACCGGCUAACUUCGUG